AACUCUCUCCUUUCUUGUAAUAACUCAAAAUUUAUUUAUAUAUACUACUCAUAUGUGAACUUAAGACUUAAACCCUAGAGAAAAAGUUUAGUUAAGAAGAGAUGGCACGUAGUAGCAGAAAUAUUAGGGUUUUGAGCUUAGCCAUUUUGUUGGUUUGUGUUAUUGUAGCUUGUAGUCUUUUGGACGGAGCUUUUGCACAGGCAGGAUACGGCAUUGGCACCUUGAAUGAAGAGAGCAAUAUUGGCAAAUUUCAUGCAGCUCUAACUCACUGCAAUAGUGCUGAUGUUGAAAAUCAAAGUUGUUGUAAAGCACUCAAUGCUUUGGAUCUUGCAUGGAACUCUUUGCUUGGAAGGAAUUUCGUAGAUGAUCUCUUCAAAUGUGGUGUUAUUCAACAACGUUGAGUAAGUUACAUUAUAUAUUUUCUUAUCCGCAGAAUUCUAUUACUAUAUAGGUUAUUUAUUAGCUUCGGUGUUUUUAUUAUCUUAUCUUGUUGUUACAACUUGUUGUUAUUGCUUCCUUUUCAUUUUUUUUGAGCCGAGAGUCUGCAGGAAAUAGCCUCUCUACCUUUAUAAAAUAGGGGUAAGUAGCGGCGGAUCCAGAAUUUAAUAUUUAUGGGUUCCUGUACUAGGUUCACGUUCAAAUAUUUAUACAUAGUAAAUUUUUCGAACGCAUUUACACUGUUUGAAUAAAAUCUACUGAGUUCACGUGAAUCCAUGAUGGAGAGUUGGAUCCACCCUUGACGGUAAAGCCUACGUGCACACUAUCUUCCUUAGACCCCGUUUUGUGGGAUUAUGCUACGUUUGUUGUUGUUUUAUAUUUGGUCUCAUUUCAAAAGACUUUCGCUUGUUCUAUCCUUGUGCCAUUAGGUGUGAUUAUCUUUAAUUUUUUGUCCAAUCAUGUAUAUAUUGUAUGACCAAUAAUCUCAAUUAACUAUAGCUUUAUUUUGUAGUAUAACUUACGUGUGUUAUUUGUUAUUUGGUGUGCAGGCACUUGACGGACUUGUCAAGUUUCGUCUAACAAGAGACCAGCCUUGUGCUUUGACCUCUGAUUUUCCAUUAUGUCUUGACAGAAAAAAAAAGUUGUGUCUUGUACUAACUUUAUAACGAGUAAAUGUAUGUUCGGUGCUAAUUGCAAGGAAUAAUAAGUUC
rnacentral:lncRNA from 1 species